rfam:Myotis lucifugus cont2.72269, whole genome shotgun sequence.
AUUACUUCUCGGCCUUUGACCAAGAUCAAGUGUAGAUAUCUGUUCUUAUCAGUUAAAAAUAUAUAUAGUAUUUACUGAUUUGAGAGAGAGACAUCACUUAGUUGUUCCACUUAUUUAUGCAUUCAUUGGUUGAUUCUUGUAUGUGCCCUGACCAGGGAUCAAACCUGCAACCUUA